rnacentral:rRNA from 1 species
AGUGAACGCUGGCGGUAGGCCUAACACAUGCAAGUCGAACGGCAGCACAGUAAGAGCUUGCUCUUACGGGUGGCGAGUGGCGGACGGGUGAGGAAUACAUCGGAAUCUACUUUUUCGUGGGGGAUAACGUAGGGAAACUUACGCUAAUACCGCAUACGACCUACGGGUGAAAGCAGGGGAUCUUCGGACCUUGCGCGAUUGAAUGAGCCGAUGUCGGAUUAGCUAGUUGGCGGGGUAAAGGCCCACCAAGGCGACGAUCCGUAGCUGGUCUGAGAGGAUGAUCAGCCACACUGGAACUGAGACACGGUCCAGACUCCUACGGGAGGCAGCAGUGGGGAAUAUUGGACAAAGGGCGCAAGCCUGAUCCAGCCAUACCGCGUGGGUGAAGAAGGCCUUCGGGUUGUAAAGCCCUUUUGUUGGGAAAGAAAAGCAGCAGGUUAAUACCCCGCUGUUCUGACGGUACCCAAAGAAUAAGCACCGGCUAACUACGUG